UGCGCCUGGAGCCUCCUCGAUUCCGGUGGUGACCUCUUCCUCUUCGGAUUCCAGAACACAGACUAAACGAAAGAAAUAUCAAUGUGGGCUCUUCGGAUUCUCUCCAACUAUAUUUGCUGCUGUGCUAGUUUUUCAUUUCGUCUCCUACUGUUCAGCCGGUGGUGACCUCUUCCUCUUCCUUGCCGCUGCCCGCGCCGACGGCGAGAUAAGCUGCUGCAAGCGAGGCGCCCGACGCCUGUUCUACGGAAUGCCUCCAGGGAGCAGGAAGAUCGAGAUAGCCUCGGCGGAGAGCGACCGUGACCGGAUCAGUGCCCUCCCGGAUGAGGCCAUCCACCACGUGCUUGGCUUCCUACCAGCGGGCGAGGCCGUGCGGACGAGCCUCCUCGCUAGGGGCUGGCAUCACCAUUGGAGGUUCAUGCACAGCCUUCACAUUCGGGCCUCCGUUGGGUUUACCAUGCCAUGGUACCGGCUGAUGGCUCUGACAAGGCUGAUUGAACGAUUGCUGCUCAAUCGCCACGUUCCUCUUGAUGAGUGCCAUAUCAACAUUUAUGGACUCAUGAUCAUACUAGAUGGCCUGGAGGAUCUUGAAACGAUUGGAGCAUCAUCAAGCACGGGUGGAAGAUGAGAUUCUUGAUCUUUCAUGCUGCACAUCGCUGGAAGAUCUACGGUUGUCUGAUUGCACCAUCGGUGCAACCAGGAUUUCAUCCCGAUCUGUAAAGUGCCUGACCAUCGCCCAUUGCAAGUUCUACAAAGACAGACGUCCGGACUUGUAUUUCAGCACCACAUGUCAUUUCUCUGAAACUGAAGGAUAUCAGCGAUACAACUCCUUUGCUUGAGUCCAUGCCUUUGCUCGAAACUGCAUUUGUUAGGCUACAUUGCAGAUUUGCUCCGUACUGCGAUAAAGGUAACAACGGGGACUGUUGUGGUGUAUGUGAGGACUGCAGUGGCUAUGAUGAUCACAAUGGUGGUUGCAUGCUUCUAGGUGGUUUGUCAAGUGCAAGACACCUAGAGUUGAUAGCUCCCUUUUCAAAGUUUACCGAUUUCAGGUGUCCUAAUUUUGACAAGUUAAAGACUAUUGCUCAAUUAUUGGUGUGUGACAAUUAACUUCAGUGCAAUAAUUUCCAUUCUCAAACACUCGCCAAUUCUUGAGAAGCUCACGAUUCAACUUGACGAGAAAAUCCAACAUACGAUGGUACUGGAUGAAAGCAACCUUACAAUGGAAAAAUUGCCUGCAAUAUCCGAAUGCCUUGAUAUAGUUGAAAUCAAAUGCAUGGAGGUCGAUGAGAGGGUUUACAAGAUUUUAAAGAUGUUUAGUAUAUUUGACCUGCAAGUCAACAUCACAAGGGGCUAGCAAUCCAAGCGAAUGUAUGUCCUGUAGUGAUACUUAAUAUGAUUCUCUAAAGCUUAUUAAUUAGAUAUGGAAAGCUUGAGUAGCAAAAGUGAUAUGGCUAGUUUUGCGAGUUGAUUUGAAGUUGGUUUGUUGUUGGCACGUCUGUUUUUGUUUUGUAUUGAAAUCUCCAUAAUCUAUUUCUUUGCAAAACUAUAUUUGUUAUCAGUAUCUAAGUUUUGUGUGAGUGUAUGUUGUUAGUGUUCAUUUAGGUCUUAUCUUGUGCUUAGACUGAAAGCUCAUACUCCCUCUGUCCGGGUAUGUAAGGUCCGCACGGAAUUUUAUGUCAUACUUUGACCAAAAAUUACAUUAGUCCACGAAACAAAACUUUACCCUGCUCCUUCCUGUCCAACUACAGAUGCAAACAAAUCCCUACUACACAUCAAAUAGCAGCAGACAACAGAAAAAACAGGUUGGGUGACAGCACCCUGACCGCCAUAUUUACUAUGAGUUUAUUGUGACAAAAAAGAUGUAUUGUUGGAUUCGUAUUGCAAAACUAUUUUUAAUGGCAUAACUUUUAUAUACAUAUCUCAAAUGUUAUUUGCAUAAUUGUUGGUCAAAGUUUGGCAAAACCCAAUAGAGGCCUUGUAAACCCGUUCGGAGGUAGUAAUUUCAUUUUCUUAUUAUCCGGAGUUAUGUUUUUGACGAAACGGAUACAACGAUCCAUUUAUUGCCAUAGAGGUUCAGGUUCUGAAUAGCCCAGGUCAAAGAUUACAUAAUAGAAAAGGAGAGGUAAAAUCACGUACCGAACGUCAGAUCCAGAGUAAAGCAACUGCAAUGUUUGCGCCGGCCUUCUCCCAAAUAACAGCCUCCCCUUUUGAUCAUAUUCAGGACACCUAAACUAGAUUGAAGCUUGUGCUGAAAAAUAUGAUGGUUUCUCUCUUUCCAGACCUCCCAAGAACCAGCAAAGUGACCGAGGAGAUUGCUUUACCAUGCUGCUUUCCUCCUAACUUAGCCAGGUCCAGGAUUGAGCACCACCAUUGCUUGAUCGAGAAGAAGCUCGGCCAUAUAAAUAAAUCCCAGCUUGAGCACUAGUCCAAUUCGCCGCCAUCUUCGACAGAUCGGGAGUAUAGGUUUCUGCUUUAAUAACUGAGAGAUUUUGGGCUUCUGAUGAAUUUGGUUAUUCACAAGCAAAUGGUUAUGCAUGAUGUGACAAGGCUGCUGCCGUGUUUCGUCUUUUCGAG